rnacentral:rRNA from 1 species
UACGAAGGGGGCUAGCGUUGCUCGGAAUCACUGGGCGUAAAGCGCACGUAGGCGGAUUGCUAAGUCAGGGGUGAAAUCCUGGAGCUCAACUCCAGAACUGCCCUUGAUACUGGCGGUCUCGAGUCCGGGAGAGGUGAGUGGAACUGCGAGUGUAGAGGUGAAAUUCGUAGAUAUUCGCAAGAACACCAGUGGCGAAGGCAGCUCGCUGGGACGGUACUGACGCCUGAGGUGCGAAAGCGUGGGGAGCG